UUUAAUGAACAGGUGUUUCAUAUCAUAGUCAUUUGCCAUACUGUGGAUUUUAAACACAUCAAGGGCUGGAAAUGACUGAAUACAUUUCUUGCCUUUUUCCUUAGCUAAUAUUUCCCUCAUAUAUGUUUCCUCUCUUCUUGUGUGUUAACAGGUCAUUGGCACUGCUGUAUCACAACAUCAUUUGCUGUGCCUGGGAUAAUGAAGACAAUUUGGGUUGUUGUGUUACACGCCAGGUGAACAACAUCAGAGUGCGGCAGUCAGAGAUCCUAAAGAAGGACUCCAUAUGUUUAGUCGAGACAGUACGCCGUACAUCUCUUACGACAAGGAUAUUUGUUUCAGGACCGCUUUCCCGAUACUGACAAGGACAUUUAAGGUUCAAUGGACAACUUGCUUUCAAUGAAUGGUUAAUGUCUGUAGCCCUUUUCACACACAUAUUAUGGAAAAAAUACAGAGUACACAUCCGGGAGUUGUUCGGGAUUAUUUGAUUUUGGUUAAUUCACGCUGCCAAUAGUUUUCUGGAUUUGUUUGUGCUUUCACACACAUGCCAUAAAGACAUGACAUAUUUAAAGUCUUGCACUUGGUAGGUUUUUUUGUAGUAUCUGUAGUUUGC